UAGGGAAUCUUCGGCAAUGGACGAAAGUCUGACCGAGCAACGCCGCGUGAGUGAAGAAGGUUUUCGGAUCGUAAAAUUCUGUUGUUAGAGAAGAACAAGGACGUUAGUAACUGAACGUCCCCUGACGGUAUCUAACCAGAAAGCCACGGCUAACUACGUGCCAGCAGCCGCGGUACUACGUAGGUGGCAAGCGUUGUCCGGAUUUAUUGGGCGUAAAGCGAGCGCAGGCGGUUUCUUAAGGCUGAUGUGAAAGCCCCCGGCUCAACCGGGGAGGGUAAUUGGGAACUGGGAGACUUGGCUGCAGGAGAGGAGAGUGGAAUUGCAUGUGGAGCGGUGAACUGCGUAGAUAUAUGGAGGAACAGCAGUGACGAAGGCGGCUCUCUGGUCAGUAAGUGACGCUGAGGCUCGAAAGCGUGGGGAGCAAACAGG
rnacentral:rRNA from 1 species